ACUUUAAUUGAAGAGUUUGAUCAUGGCUCAGAUUGAACGCUGGCGGCAGGCCUAACACAUGCAAGUCGAGCGGCAGCACAGAGGAACUUGUUCCUUGGGUGGCGAGCGGCGGACGGGUGAGUAAUGCCUAGGAAAUUGCCCUGAUG
rnacentral:rRNA from 1 species